rnacentral:rRNA from 1 species
AACGAACGCUGGCGGCAUGCCUAACACAUGCAAGUCGAACGAGACCUUCGGGCCUACUGGCGCACGGAUGCGUAACGCGUGGGAACCUGCCCUUAGGUCCGGAAUAACUCCCCGAAUGGCGUGCUAAUACCGGAUAAUGUCUUCGGACCAAAGAUUUAUCGCCUUUGGAUGGGCCCGCGUUGGAUUAGCUAGUUGGUAGGGUAAAAGCCUACCAAGGCGACGUUCCAUAGCUGGGCUGUGAGGAUGAUCAGCCACACUGGGACUGAGACACGGCCCAGACUCCUACGGGAGGCAGCAGUGGGGAAUAUUGGACAACGGGCGAAAGCCUGAUCCAGCAAUGCCGCGUGAGUGAUGAAGGCCUUAGGGUUGUAAAGCUCUUUUACCCGGGAUGAUAAUGACGGUACCGGGAGAAUAAGCUCCGGCUAACUCCGUG